GCUUUCGUGGUGUAACGAUCGAUUAGCACACUCUGCUCGUAUUCGAGAGAUCUAGGUUCGAGUCCCGGCGAGGGCA
rnacentral:tRNA from 1 species